UCCGGAUUUAUUGGGCGUAAAGAGUGUGUAGGCGGCCAGGUAGGUCCGUUGUGAAAACUCGAGGCUCAACCUCGAGACGUCGGCGGAAACCCUCUGGCUAGAGUCCGGAAGAGGAGAGUGGAAUUCCUGGUGUAGCGGUGAAAUGCGCAGAUAUCAGGAAGAACACCCGUGGCGAAGGCGGCUCUCUGGGACGGUACUGACGCUGAGACGCGAAAGCGUGGGGAGCAAACAGG
rnacentral:rRNA from 1 species